AUUGAACGCUGGCGGCAGGCCUAACACAUGCAAGUCGAACGAGUGGCGGACGGGUGCGUAAUGUCUGGGAAACUGCCUGAUGGAGGGGGAUAACUACUGGAAACGGUAGCUAAUACCGCAUACCAUCGGAUGUGCCCAGAUGGGAUUAGCUAGUAGGUGGGGUAAAGGCUCACCUAGGCGACGAUCCCUAGCUGGUCUGAGAGGAUGACCAGCCAAACUGGAACUGCGGCACUGGCGAGACUCCUACGUGAGGCAGCAGUGGGGAAUAUUGCACAAUGGGCUCAAGCCUGAUGCAGCCAUUCCGCUUGUAUGAAGAAGGCCUUCGGGUUGUAAAGUACUUUCAGCUGGGAGGCGUUACCCGCAGAAGAAGCGCCGGCUAACUCCGUGCCAGCAGCCGCGGUAAUUC
rnacentral:rRNA from 1 species